UACGGAGGGAGCUAGCGUUGUUCGGAAUUACUGGGCGUAAAGCGCACGUAGGCGGCUAUUCAAGUCAGAGGUGAAAUCCCGGGGCUCAACCUCGGAACUGCCUUUGAUACUGCAAAUCUCGAGUCCGGAAGAGGUGAGUGGAAUUCCUAGUGUAGAGGUGAAAUUCGUAGAUAUUAGGAAGAACACCAGUGGCGAAGGCGGCUCACUGGUCCGGUACUGACGCUGAGGUGCGGAAGCGUGGGGAGCAAGCAGG
rnacentral:rRNA from 1 species